rnacentral:rRNA from 1 species
CCUACGGUGGGCAGCAGUGGGGAAUAUUGCACAAUGGGGGAAACCCUGAUGCAGCGACGCCGCGUGAGCGAAGAAGUAUUUCGGUAUGUAAAGCUCUAUCAGCAGGGAAGAAAAUGACGGUAACUGAGUAAGAAGCUCCGGCUAAAUACGUGCCAGCAGCCGCGGUAAUACGUAUGGAGCAAGCGUUAUCCGGAUUUACUGGGUGGAAAGGGAGCGCAGGCGGCCUUGCAAGUCUGAUGUGAAAUACCGGGGCUCAACCCCGGAGCUGCAUUGGAAACUGUGAGGCUGGAGUGUCGGAGAGGCAGGCGGAAUUCCUAGUGUAGCGGUGAAAUGCGUAGAUAUUAGGAGGAACACCAGUGGCGAAGGCGGCCUGCUGGACGAUGACUGACGCUGAGGCUCGAAAGCGUGGGGAGCAAACAGGAUUAGAUACCCUUGUAGUC